rnacentral:hammerhead_ribozyme from 1 species
AUCCAGAUGACGAGUCCAAAAUAGGACGCAAUGCGCAUUCUGGAU